GUUGUAUGGUUAAGUGACUAAGCGUACACGGUGGAUGCCUUGGCAGUCAGAGGCGAUGAAAGGCGUAAUAACUUGCGAUAAGCCCAGAUUAGGUAGUAAUAACCUUUUGAGUCUGGGAUUCCUGAAUGGGGAAACCCACUUGCAUAAGCAAGUAUCCUGUUGUGAAUACAUAGCAACAGGAGGCAAACCGGGGG
rnacentral:rRNA from 1 species